rnacentral:lncRNA from 13 species
CAGUGAAAGGAGAGAGAAAGUUGUUGGACAUUAAUGUGUCUCUGCGUAUCAUCUAGUAACCCUUGUAGAAAAUGUGGGGCUUUCCUCCUAAAUGUAGAGUGUGGAGAAUUAUUUCAAUCAGUGUUGAUGCUGUUAGUUGGUAACUGGGCUGUCCAGUACUAUAAUGAGAAAGUAGAUGAAUUCAGUGAGUUGUCUCCUCAACUCUAUGGACUGAGCGAAUCCUUCUCCUCCUCCCACUCUUCCUCUCUUUGGACUGAAAUUAUCCUCCUCCUCCUCUUUUUUGACUGAAAUUCUCCUUCUCCAGCCAGACAGAAGCCUGUUUUUCUCCACCUCAUGUAUAUGUUUCUACCCACAUCAUGCUCCCUCCUCUUUCUCCUCCCCCCUUCACUGUCAGCUCUCAGCACAGCAUUCUCUCUUUCUCUUUCUCUCAUUCAUCCUUCUACAGUGGGGAGAAGAAGUAUGUGAUACACUGCCGAUUUUGCAGGUUUUCCUACUUACAAAGCAUGUAGAGGUCUGUCAUUUUUAUCAUAGGUACACUUCAACUGUGAGAGACGGAAUCUAAAACAAAAAUCCAGAAAAUCACAUUGUAUGAUUUUUAAGUAAUUAAUUUGCAUUUUAUUGCAUGACAUAAGUAUUUGAUAGACAAGGAAAAAUGAUAUGCAGGGGGCAGGGUGUACAGACCCGUGCUGCUGGGGGCUCACACUGCAGCAUGUGUAUAUAUAUAUAUACUGUAUAUAUAUAUUUUUUACCUAUAUUUAAAUAGGGAAGGCCGUUAAGAACAAAUUCUUAUUCACAAUGACUCCCUACCCCAGCCAAACCAUAACAUGGACACCGCUGGGCCAAUUGUGCGCCGCCCUAUGGGACUCCCAAUCGACCAGUUGUGAUACAGAAUGGAAUCGAACCAGGGUCUGUAGUGACAUCUCUAGCACUGAGAUGCAGUGCCUUAGACUGCUGCACCACUGGGGGGCUGGUGAACCAUCUGGAGGACGUUGUAGGGUGUGGGGCGUCAGGGGGGUACAGUGGACGAGAAGGAAGGCUUGGUUCUAACGUUCUAGGCCCGUUAUGUCAAGUUUGUGCUUUUAAUGAUGUAGCUAUUGGGCCAAUAAAUGUACUUCUCUCUCUCUCUCUCUCUCUCUCUCUUUCUGUCUUUCUGUCUCUCUCUCUCUCUCUCUCUCUCUCUCUCUCUCUCUCUCUAUUUCUCUUUCUUUCUGUCUUUAUCUCUCUCUCUCUCUCUCUCUCUCUCUCUAUUUCUCUUUCUGUCUUUCUGUCUCUCUCUCUCUCUUUCUCUCUCUUUCUCUCUUUCUCUCUCUUCUUCUCUCUCUUCUGUCUCAUUCUCUGUCUAGGUCUCUGUCUCUCUUUCUCUGGGAUCUGUAGGGCGGCGGGGGUGGGCGGGAGGUCCUAUAUAAACACAAAAAAUAUCAGCCAACAGAGCACAUGGGCAUGUCUGUCUGUCUGUCUGUCUGUCUGUCUGUCUGUCUGUCUGUCUGUUUGCAUGAUAACAAUAUGAUCUCACUCUGCAGCCUUACCUCACCCUCUCCUGCAGCCUUAUCUCACCCUUUCCUGCAGCCUUACCUCACUCUCUCCUGCAGCCUUACCUCACCCUCUCCUGCAGCCUUACCUCACCCUCUCCUGCAGCCUUACCUCACCCUCUCCUGCAGCCUUACCUCACCCUCUCCUGCAGCCUUACCUCACCCUCUCCUAUCUCCCCUCCAAAUCCCAUAGAUAAUGCCCAACUCAAACACACACAAUAAGUUAUUGUCUCACUAUGCAAGAUACUGUUCGUCCCAAAUAGCACCCUUUUCCAUUUAUCCCUCAAAUUCAAAUCUAGACCUUUUUUCUCUUCAAUGUUCCCCUCUAAUCAGGGACUCAUUUAGACCUGGGAUACCAUGUUUGUGCAAUUUAUUAUCAGAUAGAACAGAAAACCAGCAGCAGUCCGGACUGUGUAGGGUAAGAGUUGAAUACCCCUGCCCUAUAUAGUGCACUACUUUUCACCAGGGCCCAUAUAAAUAGUGUGCUAGGGAACUCACAAUAGAGGGGUAGUUUGGCCCAACAUCAUGGGGUAGAUGAGGAGCACUUCAACUUCCUGGAUCUCCACCAAUCAUGGUCCACCGCGUGAAUAGGGUCU